rnacentral:misc_RNA from 1 species
GAAAGUCCCGAUUGUUGUUGGAAAUUGCACGGGCUUUGCUGUGAAUCGCACCUUUUUUCCGUAUACCCAAGGAGCACACUUACUGGUUCAUUUAGGUGUGGAUUUGUUCAGAAUUGAUGGAGUCAUCAGCAAUUUUGGCAUGCCAAUGGGCCCUUUUCAGCUUCAAGAUAUUGCUGGGUAUGGAGUUGCUUUGGCUGUAAAGAAAGAAUUUGAAUCUGCCUUUAAGGGGCGGACUUUUGGAUCUGAUCUGGUCGAAUUGUUGAUAAAAAAUGGGCGAAAUGGGAAGAACAACGGAAAGGGUUACUACAUUUAUCAGAGUGGAAGCAAGCCAAAACCAGAUCCCAGUGUGCAAGCUAUCAUUGAAGAAUCAAGAAGACGUGCUAACAUCAUGCCUGGUGGAAAGCCUGUACCAGUUAGU